rnacentral:rRNA from 1 species
UACGGAGGAGGCAAGCGUUAUCCGGAAUUAUUGGGCGUAAAGCGUCCGCAGGUGGCACUUCAAGUCUGUCGUCAAAGACUGGGGCUUAACCCUGGAAAGGCGGUGGAAACUGAAGCGCUAGAGUGCGGUAGGGGUAGAGGGAAUUCCCGGUGUAGCGGUGAAAUGCGUAGAGAUUGGGAAGAACACCCGUGGCGAAAGCGCUCUGCUGGACUGCAACUGACAUUGAGGGACGAAAGCUAGGGGAGCGAAUGGG